GUGGGGAAUCUUAGACAAUGGGGGAAACCCUGAUCUAGCCAUGCCGCGUGAUCGAUGAAGGCCUUAGGGUUGUAAAGAUCUUUCAGCUGGGAAGAUAAUGACGGUACCAGCAGAAGAAGCCCCGGCUAACUCCGUGCCAGCAGCCGCGGUAAUACGGAGGGGGCUAGCGUUAUUCGGAAUUACUGGGCGUAAAGCGCACGUAGGCGGAUCAGAAAGUCAGAGGUGAAAUCCCAGGGCUCAACCUUGGAACGGCCUUUGAAACUCCUGGUCUUGAGUUCGAGAGAGGUGAGUGGAAUUCCGAGUGUAGAGGUGAAAUUCGUAGAUAUUCGGAGGAACACCAGUGGCGAAGGCGGCUCACUGGCUCGAUACUGACGCUGAGGUGCGAAAGCGUGGGGAGCAAACAGGAUUAGAAACCCCUGUAGUCC
rnacentral:rRNA from 1 species